GAUGAACGCUAGCUACAGGCUUAACACAUGCAAGUCGAGGGGAAACGACAUCGAAAGCUUGCUUUUGAUGGGUGUCGACCGGCGCACGGGUGAGUAACGCGUAUCCAACCUGCCCACCACUUGGGGAUAACCUUGCGAAAGUAAGACUAAUACCCAAUGAUAUCCCACGAAGGCAUCCGAAUGGGAUUAAAGAUUUAUCGGUGAUGGAUGGGGAUGCGUCUGAUUAGCUUGUUGGCGGGGUAACGGCCCACCAAGGCGACGAUCAGUAGGGGUUCUGAGAGGAAGGUCCCCCCACAUUGGAACUGAGACACGGUCCAAACUCCUACGGGAGGCAGCAGUGAGGAAUAUUGGUCAAUGGACGAGAGUCUGAACCAGCCAAGUAGCGUGCAGGAUGACGGCCCUAUGGGUUGUAAACUGCUUUUAUGUGGGAAUAAAGUGAGGGACGUGUCCCUUUUUGUAGGUACCACAUGAAUAAGGACCGGCUAAUUCCGUG
rnacentral:rRNA from 1 species